UACGUAGGGUGCAAGCGUUGUCCGGAAUUAUUGGGCGUAAAGAGCUCGUAGGCGGUUUGUCGCGUCUGCUGUGAAAUCCCAGGGCUUAACCCUGGGCCUGCAGUGGGUACGGGCAAGCUAGAGUGCGGUAGGGGAGAUCGGAAUUCCUGGUGUAGCGGUGAAAUGCGCAGAUAUCAGGAGGAACACCGGUGGCGAAGGCGGAUCUCUGGGCCGUAACUGACGCUGAGGAGCGAAAGCAUGGGUAGCGAACAGG
rnacentral:rRNA from 1 species